rnacentral:tRNA from 1 species
GCGCCCAUAGCUCAACAGGAUAGAGCGUGGGAUUCCGGAUCCCAAGGUUGGGGGUUCAAGUCCCCCUGGGCGCA